GAUUAUUCUGGGCUUGGCCCUUGUAGCCGCCGUGUUCCGGCUGGCGAAAACCCUAGCUCUCUUGCUUCGGAUCUGAGUGAAUCCAUCAACAAAUUCCCCACCAAAUUGCUUGUUUUCUUCGAUCGCUUGCAAUUUUAGAGACAGCCACUACUAGGGCCUGUCAGUGGCUUCAUGAGAUCCAACGACACUUACCUGCCGGAGCUAAGUCGCCAUGGCCUCUCCUCUCCCAGGGGUACGGAUUGCAGCAGCCGCUCUCCGUGCAUCCAGCCUCGUCUCUCCAGCACAGAUCUCGCCGGGGGCAAUGCUUUCCCUGGCGGAACACAGAUCGACCACCAAGCCGCACAUGGAGGUGUCUGACGAAGGAAGCUGCGAGGGGGACACGGCGGCCGAUGAAGUAUGACAUUACAUCAUCCCAAAUGUUCAUUAUUCCAGUGCCACGCCCAGAGGGCUGGAUGGUGCGAAUCUUUGACAAUUGACAUGGUGACAAAAAUAACAAAUGUUUUUGACCCACUGUACACGAAAAUUUCUAAUAGUCAUCCGACCAAGGAACGAGAUCAGGGCACAGACUGGGAGUUGCACAAUGCAUUGUUUUCAUGUUUGAACGAAUUCUAUGCUGGAUGGCCGACGAAGCAAGGAAAAUUGGGGCGUCAAGCACAAUCCAACCACUGAUGCCAUCUUCAUACUAGCCGAGACAGGGACAUGCAUGAUCCACAUCGCUUGUCACUUCGAUGGAGAAAAGCUUAAGCUUCAGCUUACAAAGCACAACGUCUCCAAAACAAAGAAGGACGCCCUCCAUGAGUGUGCUUGAAGCUUCAGGGCAACUUCUCUGCACUUGCGCACAAUGCGUGGCAUCUGAUUCUGUGUUCAACAACUAGGAAGGGGCCUGCAACAGCGCCAUUUGCGUUAGACUGAUCAUCAGACACUUGCCGCUAUCUGCCUUCUAAUCGUUAUGUGCCAGACUGACUUUUGUAAAUAUCAAUGAUAAUAUCAUGAACGACAACUAUUUCUGCUUCGACUUA